GCCCACAUAGCUCAGUGGUUGAGCAUCGACCUAUGAAUCAGGAGGACAGGGUUCAAUUCCCGGUGUGGGGCA
rnacentral:tRNA from 1 species